AGAGCGAACGCUGGCGGCAGGCUUAACACAUGCAAGUCGAGCGGGCGUAGCAAUACGUCAGCGGCAGACGGGUGAGUAACGCGUGGGAACGUACCUUUUGGUUCGGAACAACCCAGGGAAACUUGGACUAAUACCGGAUAAGCCCUUACGGGGAAAGAUUUAUCGCCGAAAGAUCGGCCCGCGUCUGAUUAGCUAGUUGGUGAGGUAAUGGCUCACCAAGGCGACGAUCAGUAGCUGGUCUGAGAGGAUGAUCAGCCACAUUGGGACUGAGACACGGCCCAAACUCCUACGGGAGGCAGCAGUGGGGAAUAUUGGACAAUGGGCGCAAGCCUGAUCCAGCCAUGCCGCGUGAGUGAUGAAGGCCCUAGGGUUGUAAAGCUCUUUUGUGCGGGAAGAUAAUGACGGUACCGCAAGAAUAAGCCCCGGCUAACUUCGUGCCAGCAGCCGC
rnacentral:rRNA from 1 species